ensembl:misc_RNA 7SK 7SK RNA
GGAUGUGAGGGUGAUCUGGCUGCGACAUCUGUCACCCCAGUGACCGCCAGGGUUGAUUCGGCUGAUCUGACUGGCUGGGCGGGUGUCCCCUUCCUCGCUCACCCUCCAUGUGCGUCCCUCCCGAGGCUGCGCUCGGUCAGAGGGCGGCCUUCCCCGAAUACUUGGGUCGAGGGCAUAGGAGUUGCUGCGCUCCCCUGCUAGAACCUCCAGACAAGCUCUCAAGGUCCAGUAAAAUGGAAAAAAUGACCACCAGGAGCAAUGGACUCAUAGUGUU